AACCCAGGGUAAAAACUGCCUUAGUCCCACCUUUGCUACUUCAUUGGUUAGAGUGACAGUCAGUCACACAGUGCAAUCAGCCAAUCACUGCACCUGAAGUAGGUUUUUCAGGCCUGCUCCAGCUUUCCCAAUCAGCUGUGAGAGGGAGAGCUGGAGACAAAGGAGCUGCAGAUCUGAAUAUCCAGUGAGCUUGGAGCCAUGAAGCUGCCAUGCACUGAUCUUUAAAAGGAAUUGGCCAGGUGAUUUCCCCUUUUUGGGGUUAAAGGAUGGCGAGCUUCUAAGAUCUGGCUGGAGCCAGGAGAACCGAAUUUCACUCCAUACUGGUCUGGUAGGAGUUUGAUGGUCCAUGAACUUUCCCCUCCUUCUCAUUACACAGACACACUACCCAUUAUUCACCCUUUUCAUCAGAGCUGAAUUGCGCUUGGACAUUUCCCUUAAAGUUUCUGGAUAAACAAACUAUGGACUUUUAAAUGUGUGUCGGUCAGACGCUGUGUUGACCAAGUGGGGAAAAGUGAAGGACUCUGUGCACAUUAGAACAUCAACUGCAGUAUUGUGUAUAUAUUUAUUGUAUUUUGGUUUCCAUGUAUGUUUUGUAUUGUUUAUUUAAUUUUCUUCUUUAAAAAAAAUACAUAGUAUUGAAACAGUUACUCUCUUGUAUUGUUUUAUUGAUUUCUGACGACAGCUCCAGCAGACGAAUUUAGUUUUCUGAUGUCAGAAGCUAUCUAGUCCUUCAGUGCAUUAAGUACUGCUACAUUAUAAACAUCAAAUAGUGCUACAG